rnacentral:rRNA from 1 species
GACGAACGCUGGCGGCGUGCUUAACACAUGCAAGUCGAACGGAAAGGCCCUGCUUUUGUGGGGUGCUCGAGUGGCGAACGGGUGAGUAACACGUGAGUAACCUGCCCUUGACUUUGGGAUAACUUCAGGAAACUGGGGCUAAUACCGGAUAGGAGCUCCUGCUGCAUGUUGGGGGUUGGAAAGUUUCGGCGGUUGGGGAUGGACUCGCGGCUUAUCAGCUUGUUGGUGGGGUAGUGGCUUACCAAGGCUUGACGGGUAGCCGGCCUGAGAGGGUGACCGGCCACAUUGGGACUGAGAUACGGCCCAGACUCCUACGGGAGGCAGCAGUGGGGAAUAUUGCAAAAUGGGCGGAAGCCUGAUGCAGCAACGCCGCGUGCGGGAUGACGGCCUUCGGGUUGUAAACCGCUUUCGCCUGUGACGAAGCGUGAGUGACGGUAAUGGGUAAAGAAGCACCGGCUAACUACGUG